rnacentral:rRNA from 1 species
CGGGUGCACUGAUCCGGCCGGGCCUUUCCCUCUGUGGAGCCCCAUGGCCUUCACUGGCUGUGCGGGGGAAACAGGACUUUUACUGUGAAAAAAUUAGAGUGUUCCAGGCAGGCCUAUGCUCGAAUACAUUAGCAUGGAAUAAUAGAAUAGGACGCGUGGUUCUAUUUUGUUGGUUUCUAGGACCGCCGUAAUGAUUAAUAGGGACAGUCGGGGGCAUCAGUAUUCAAUUGUCAGAGGUGAAAUUCUUGGAUCUAUUGAAGACUAACUACUGCGAAAGCAUUUGCCAAGGAUGUUUUCAUUGAUAAGGAACGAAAGUUAGGGGAUCGAAGACGAUCAGAUACCGUCGUAGUCUUAACUAUAAACUAUGCCGACUAGGGAUCGGACGAUGUUAUUUCUUGACGCGUUCGGCACCUUUCGAGAAAUCAAAGUGCUUGGGCUCCAGGGGGAGUAUGGUCGCAAGGCUGAAACUUAAAGAAAUUGACGGAAGGGCACCACCAGGGGUGGAACCUGCGGCUUAAUUUGACUCAACACGGGGAAACUCACCAGGUCCAGACACAGUGAGGAUUGACAGAUUGAGAGCUCUUUCUUGAUUCUGUGGGUGGUGGUGCAUGGCCGUUCUUAGUUGGUGGAGUGAUUUGUCUGCUUAAUUGCGAUAACGAACGAGAUCUUAACCUGCUAAAUAGCCCGUACUGCUCUGGCAGUUCGCCGGCUUCUUAGAGGGACUAUCGG